GACGAACUGUUGAGAAAAUGUUUCGCGUCCCGCGAGACGUCAAACCCUGACCGUCACGAAGAGGUCCGAGACUAACGGUAAACCCAUUUAACGUCACGAUGACUGGCGGAGGACACGGUCAGAAGCCACGACGCAGUUUCCCGCGGUAACGUCAAGGCGGGAAUCUGUAGGCUACUCACCCUGCCGCGAGCCACGGAGGAUCCACGCGCUCUGGAAAGCCCAGGACGGAUGGAGAGCCUGUGAGCAGUGAGUGCUAAAGGAGCACCAGGUGUCAUCCAAGAGUACAUGGAGAUCCAGUUGAACCUGGAGGCACAAAAGAGGAUCCAAAGGAGGCCCGACCCGGUCCUACUGGACGGUUGGGAAAAUAUGCCCUUGCCAAGGAGGGACGAACAUUGGACUGUGAUAUAUCAAACACCAGGUGGAGGCUCACGUGAUGUGCUAGUAACCUCUCAAUGUGAGCCGGCCUCGUGAUCUACAAGGCUUGAUUUCAGCCGACAGGAGCAACAUCUAUGACUCUGUCCAAAAACCCCCACGUGUAUCCUGCGCAACGACAUCAUCACCUGAGCCGUUCAGUUCCGUGCAAACCUACAGACAAUCUCAAAAUUUCAAAUGCUGAAAUGUCCAUGUUUGGGUACAUUAUCACGAUGCAUAUUUUUAAAAUUAUUAAUCUUUAGUUUACUAUUAUGUCACAUAUUUUGGAGAAUGAUGAUUUUCAAUGCAUGCUGAAAACAUAUUGUUAUAAUUUUUAUGAUUUUUAUGAGGGUAUUUUAGGUACACAUUUGAUUUGGUUGUAUUCUAAGUGUGGAAACAUUGUGGUGUUAUGUUUAGAUAGGUUUUUUGAUCUUUUUAUGAAUACUUUGCGGGACUCAAGAAUAUUGGACAUAAUACACCACAUUUGGCAAUCUUUUCAUCGCCAGGUUGCGAUCCCUGGAUGCAGGUUGAAAUUCCUGCUUUAGAUUAGCGAUGUUUUUUCUAGGUAGCCAGAGGUGGUGCUAUUCUGAUCCACUUGCCAGCACAUGAUCUCAUAGACUAAUUAAUAGAUAAAGGGGACAUGGGGAAAUUUAAGUAAUAGAGAUGUUAUUAUUGUUUUCUUUUAUUGAGGCUUUGGCAAGCCUCAAAGGGGGGAUAUGUGGUAGAAAUUAACCUUACAUUCUAUGUUAAACUAUGAUUAUUAUUAGGCCUACAUAUCAUCUAUACUUUAAUGGUGGAGAAGAGCUGAUCACCUCUAACCUAGAUGAUGUGUGCCGUGUGACACCAGUGAGUUGGUCCAGGAUAUUCUCACCUGAUGGGCCAUGUGACACAUCAGUCAGAGAGUCCAGUCUACUCCCAUAUUGAUGUACUCUCUGAAGACAAUGCUUACAUUCACACAUGUGCAUCAUCUCUGUUUGUAUAAGGAUAAUAUAUGUUCUAAGGUCACAUUGGGAUUCAGAAGACAUAAGAGUAUGCUGACAUCCACACAGUAUGACCCUGAUGGGAAAUUCUAUAUUUGAGGAAAGUCCAACUUUGUAUUGUGUAAGAAUCGGGGAUAUAAGGAGCUGUCCGGGAUUCAUUCGGUAGUGUGUAUUCGCGAAUACCAUUCAGCUUUGUUGUCUCUCGUUUGCGGGUGGCAAU
ensembl:lncRNA